CAUUAAGAAGCUAAUAGAGCAUAGCAUUAGCCUUUUAAGCUAAGUGAAGGUGACCACCAACCACCCUUAAUGA
rnacentral:tRNA from 1 species